rnacentral:rRNA from 1 species
GACGAACGCUGGCGGCGUGCCUAACACAUGCAAGUCGAGCGAAUGAAGUUCCUUCGGGAACGGAUUUAGCGGCGGACGGGUGAGUAACACGUGGGCAACCUGCCUCAUAGAGGGGAAUAGCCUUCCGAAAGGGAGAUUAAUACCGCAUAAGAUUGUAUUACCGCAUGGUACAGCAAUUAAAGGAGCAAUCCGCUAUGAGAUGGGCCCGCGGCGCAUUAGCUAGUUGGUGAGGUAACGGCUCACCAAGGCGACGAUGCGUAGCCGACCUGAGAGGGUGAUCGGCCACAUUGGGACUGAGACACGGCCCAGACUCCUACGGGAGGCAGCAGUGGGGAAUAUUGCACAAUGGGGGAAACCCUGAUGCAGCAACGCCGCGUGAGUGAUGACGGCCUUCGGGUUGUAAAGCUCUGUCUUCAGGGACGAUAAUGACGGUACCUGAGGAGGAAGCCACGGCUAACUACGUGCCAGCAGCCGCGGUAAUACGUAGGUGGCGAGCGUUGUCCGGAUUUACUGGGCGUAAAGGGAGCGUAGGCGGAUUUUUAAGUGAGAUGUGAAAUACUCGGGCUUAACCUGAGUGCUGCAU